GGGCUUCGGGUAGGGGCGGGGCCGGGCUGGGCGCGCGACUGCUCCGGGCGGCGAUGGCGGCGGACGGGGACUGGCAGGAUUUCUAUGAGUUCCAGGAGCCGGCUCGGAGCCUCCUGGACCAGGAGAACUGUAACGCGAGCUCCGACGCCGGGGCAGAGGCAGGGGCGGGGGCGGGGGCGAGCGGGGGUGCCGACGGCUUCCCGGCGCUGGCCUGCAGCUUGGAGGAGAAGCUGAGCCUGUGCUUCCGCCCCUCGGAUCCGGGCGCCGAGCCCCCGAGGGCUGCCGUGCGGCCCAUCACGGAGCGCAGCCUCCUGCAGGGGGACGAGAUUUGGAAUGCCCUGACAGAUAAUUAUGGAAAUGUGAUGCCUGUAGACUGGAAGUCAUCCCACACUAGGACCUUGCACUUGCUUACUCUGAACCUCUCAGAAAAAGGGGUAAGUGACAGUUUGCUCUUUGAUGCAUCAGAUGACGAGGAGCUGAGAGAGCAGCUGGAUAUGCACUCAAUCAUUGUCUCCUGUGUGAAUGAUGAACCCCUCUUCACAGCAGACCAGGUUAUUGAAGAAAUUGAAGAAAUGAUGCAGGAAUCACCGGACCCAGAAGAUGAUGAAACCCCUACACAGUCAGAUCGGCUUUCAAUGCUUUCCCAGGAAAUUCAAACUCUUAAGAGGUCUAGUACCAGCAGUUAUGAAGAGAGAGUAAAAAGGCUCUCAGUGUCUGAGUUAAAUGAACUCCUGGAAGAGAUUGAGACUGCCAUUAAGGAGUACUCGGAGGAGCUGGUGCAGCAGUUGGCCUUACGAGAUGAACUGGAGUUUGAAAAGGAAGUGAAAAACAGCUUUAUUUCUGUUCUUAUUGAAGUGCAAAACAAACAGAAAGAGCACAAAGAAACAGCAAAAAAGAAAAAGAAACUAAAAAAUGGCAGCUCUCAAAAUGGGAAGAAUGAGAGAAGUCAUAUGCCUGGCACACGCUUCAGCAUGGAAGGGAUCUCAAAUGUCAUUCAGAAUGGCCUCCGCCACACCUUUGGAAAUUCAGGUGGAGAGAAACAGUAUUUGACUACAGUCAUUCCUUAUGAGAAAAAAAAUGGACCACCAUCUGUUGAAGAUCUUCAAAUAUUAACAAAAAUUCUUCGUGCCAUGAAGGAGGACAGUGAAAAAGUUCCGAGCUUGUUAACUGAUUAUAUUCUGAAAGGACUGUAAUUGUGAACCUACCUAUACCGCAUGCCUUAGGGAAGCAGCACCCAUCUAAUUCUGCUCCUCAUGCUCGGGCCGCUGGCUCCUGUCUUUCUGUGUCCUACAUAAAGCAGCAUUACUUCAGGAGCAGCAACUUUAUCUGCGGUGGGACUCCGAGCUAGAUUUCCUACAGCAUUAUUCUGAAAGCUGGCCACCAUUACCUUCUUGCUAUUGGAAACUCAGCACAUUUGAACUUCGGUUUGAUUCAGUAUUAACAGAUCUUGGCUUCCCUAAUUCUUUAUAUUAUAGAACCGAUGGAAAUAUGGGCACUAUUUUGAAUUCUAGAGAUGGUUUUAAAGUCUACUAAUAAUUAUGAACUGUUCUUAGUACAGAGAGUAGUAGUAAUUGUGCAUGUGCAGUUAUAUUUCUCAUUAACUGACAGUAUGCCCGUUUGUUUUUACGGCUUUCUAAUCUACACUGCACUGAUGAACUAGAUUAAAGCCUUGGGAGAUUUAUGCUACAAAUUCAGUGAUAGCAAGAACCAGCACUGAUUUUUGUGAGAAUUGUCAGUAUAAAUAUUACCUACCAGUAUUGUUCAGAGAGACUGAAAGAAACUUGGGCUGUUCUUGAAGAGGCAAAACCAGAAUAUGCAUUACAGUGGCUUAAUACUUAGUGAACAUUGAAACUGUUGGUGAUGAUUGGAUUUUAUAGCUUGCUGCUUGUUUCACCUUUGGUAAAAUUUUAACCGUUAAAUUGCCACUUUUAGAAUCUUGUAUUAACUUUUGAGAUGUUCCAAUGUUCUGCUUCAUAUGUCUGUGAAUUGUACUUGAAUAGUUUGUAUCCUCUGAGGUGCUUAAAGUGUAUCCUGCAGAACUGCCCAUUCCCAUGACGGUCAUAUUUUAUUCAUGCCUGUGUGUUUUUCUUAAGUAUGAAUUCUAGAAACAGCUACUUACGGGUUCAAUAUCAUAAGCGCUUUUGCCAGUUCCAAUCAAAUCAAUGGCAUUUAAUAAAUUUUUUAAAAAGUAAAAA